rnacentral:rRNA from 1 species
UGGGGAAUAUUGGACAAUGGGCGCAAGCCUGAUCCAGCAAUGCCGCGUGAGUGAUGAAGGCCUUAGGGUUGUAAAGCUCUUUCGCCCGCGACGAUGAUGACGGUAGCGGGAGAAGAAGCCCCGGCUAACUUCGUGCCAGCAGCCGCGGUAAUACGAAGGGGGCGAGCGUUGUUCGGAUUUACUGGGCGUAAAGGGCGCGUAGGCGGCCCUCCUCGUCGCGUGUGAAAGCCCCGGGCUCAACCUGGGAACGGCGCGCGAAACGGGGGGGCUGGAGUUCGGGAGAGGAGCGUGGAAUUCCCAGUGUAGAGGUGAAAUUCGUAGAUAUUGGGAAGAACACCGGUGGCGAAGGCGGCGCUCUGGACCGAGACUGACGCUGAGGCGCGAAAGCGUGGGGAGCAAACA